AUUGAACGCUGGCGGCAUGCCUUACACAUGCAAGUCGAACGGUAACGCGGGGCAACCUGGCGACGAGUGGCGAACGGGUGAGUAAUGUAUCGGAACGUGCCCAGUUGUGGGGGAUAACUGCUCGAAAGAGCAGCUAAUACCGCAUACGACCUGAGGGUGAAAGCGGGGGAUCGCAAGACCUCGCGCAAUUGGAGCAGCCGAUAUCAGAUUAGGUAGUUGGUGGGGUAAAGGCCCACCAAGCCAACGAUCUGUAGCUGGUCUGGGAGGACGACCAGCCACACUGGGACUGGGGAACGGCCCAGACUCCGACGGGAGGCAGCGGUGGGGAAUUUUGGACAAUGGACGCAAGUCUGAUCCAGCCAUGCCGCGUGCGGGAAGAAGGCCUUCGGGUUGUAAACCGCUUUUGUCAGGGAAGAAAAGGGCGACUCUAAUACAGUUGCCUCAUGACGGUACCUGAAGAAUAAGCACCGGCUAACUACGUGCCAGCAGCCGCCGUAAUAC
rnacentral:rRNA from 1 species